UAACGAAUCUUCCCCAAUGCACGAAAGUGUGAGGGAGCGACGCCGCGUGGAGGAUGAAGUCCUUCGGGAUGUAAACUCCUGUCAGGGGUUAGAAAGUUCUGAUCAACCCCAGAGGAAGAGGCGGCUAACUCUGUGCCAGCAGCCGCGGUAAGACAGAGGCCUCGAGCGUUAGGCGGAAUCACUGGGCUUAAAGCGUGUGUAGGCGGAUCGUUAAGUGCCUUGUGAAAUCCCACAGCUCAACUGUGGAACUGCUUGGCAUACUGGCGGUCUUGAGCCAUCUAGGGGCGACUGGAACAAACGGUGGAGCGGUGAAAUGCGUAGAUAUCGUUUGGAACGCCAAUGGUGAAAACAGGUCGCUGGGGAUGUGCUGACGCUGAGACACGAAAGCCAGGGGAGCAAACGGG
rnacentral:rRNA from 1 species